ensembl:lncRNA
AUGCGCAGUUCAUCCCUGGGUUUUAACCACGAUAGACAGAGGAUACAGACUUCAAUUCGCUGUAAAACCUCCUGUGUUCAAUGGAGUGGUAAUUUCAGUGGCCCAAGGGGAAGCAGCUCAGGUUUUAGAGGAAGAAAUAUCCUCUUUAAUGAGAAAAGGAGUGAUAAGAAUGAUUCCAACGGAGGAAAGCCAGACGGGCUUCUACUCCCGUUAUUUUGUGAUUCCCAAACGAGGGGGAGGUCUCCGUCCCAUUUUAGAUUUACGGGUCCUCAACAAACACCUCAGAAAAUACAAAUUCAAAAUGCUUUCGCUCAGAACUUUGUGCCAAAGUAUCCGUCAAGGGGAUUGGUUCACCUCAGUGGACCUCCAGGACGCAUAUUUUCACAUAGAUAUUUUUCCUGCUCACAGGAAAUAUCUGCGGUUCGCUUAUCAGGGCACAGCAUACGAGUAUAUGAGGAUCCCCUUUGGCAUGGCUUUGGCACCCAGGGUAUUUACCAAAUGUGUGGAAGCGGCUCUGACACCGUUAAGAAACGGAGGAGUCAGAGUUUCAUCAUAUCUGGACGAUCUGCUCAUCUGCGCGCCGUCUCCGCAUCAAGCAGAGAGCGAUACACACACACUAGUGACGCAUCUGGAGAGAUUAGGUUUCAAGAUAAACCAAACGAAGAGUUGUCUAAUUCCUUCACAGGAAAUAGUCUACUUGGGUCUCAGGUUGAAUUCAGUGAGGUUUCGAGCGUUCCUAUCAGAAGAGCGCAUCAAAACAUUUCUCACCUGCCUCUCCCUAUUUCAACGAGGGAGUUUAGUCUCUUUCGGAAUGUGUCUUCGACUACUGGGUCUGAUGGCCUCAACAGUGUCAGUGGUUCCCCUGGGACUGCUGAGAAUGAGGGAUUUUCAGAACUGGACAGCGUCACAGGGCAUUCGCCCCACGAGCCGUCUCAGCCGCAGAGUGCGCGUCUCACCAGAAUGCAUGAGCGCUCUCUGUCACUGGAGAGCACCGUCUUUUCUCAGGACAGGAUGUCCUCUGGGCCCUGUACUAUUGAGAAAAGUGGUGACAACAGAUGCAUCUCUCACGGGCUGGGGAACAGUGUUCGAGGGCAGAACAGUGAGGGGAGUUUGGUCUCCGGCACUGAGAGAGAAGCACAUAAAUUUUCUAGAACUAAUGACAGUGUUACUAGCUCUGAGACAUUUUGUGCAUUUUCUCAAGAAUCAUCAUGUAUUGGUCAGGACAGACAAUACAACGGUGAUAGCCUACAUAAACCGUCAGGGAGGAGUGCGUUCUCACAAGCUUCACUUGUUAGCGAAAGAACUGAUUAUGUGGAGCAGCAAGAACCUCCUGUCACUACGCGCGACGCAUGUUCCAGGAAUAAUGAACAGGGGAGCGGAUUUACUGUCCAGAGGGAAUCCUCUGUACGGGGAGUGGAGACUCCACCCCCAAGUUAUGCUCAUGGUGUGGCAGAGAUUCGGCCAGGCCGCCGUAGAUCUCUUCGCAUCGCGCGAAGACGCGCAAUGUCCCCUGUUCUUCUCUCUGGUGGGCAACGAUGCACCGUUGGGUGUGGAUGCUCUAGCCCACGAGUGGCCAGACGUAUUACUUUACGCUUUCCCUCCGUUGAGCCUGAUCGAGCCGACACUACGAAGGGUUCGGGAACGAAAGCAUGUAAUGAUUCUGAUCGCGCCAUACUGGCCGGGGAGACUUUGGGUUGCGGAGAUUGCGCAACUGCUCUACGACCAGCCAUGGCCGUUACCAGCGCGCAGGGAUCUCCUCUCACAAGCACGGGGGGAAAUAUUUCACCCCUCCCCUCAGAAACUAGCUCUCUGGGCCUGGCCCGUGAGAGGCUAAAUCUGAAUGCAGCUGGGUUACCUCCGAAAGUGAUUGAGACAAUUCAGAACGCGAGGGCUGCCUCAACGCGCUCUUUAUAUAAUCUCAAAUGGAGGGUGUUUGAGAGUUGGUGCGCAGAUAGGAACAUAGUUCCUUUCCUGUGUUCAGUUUCGGAUGUGCUGGUUUUUUUACAGGACCUUUUAGAUAAGGGCAGAGCCUUUUCUACGGUUAAGGUUUAUCUGUCCGCUAUCUCGGCAUGUCAUGUGGGUAUUAACUCGGGUACUAUUGGCCAGCACCCUCUCGUCUGUCGAUUUAUGAGAGGUGCACGUGGGUUACACCCAGUGUCGAAGCCACUGGUCCCGCCCUGGGACCUGUCCGUGGUUCUGAACGCGCUCUCAAAAGCCCCUUUGAGCCCAUUGAUAAAAUUGCCUUGA